GAUCCUGGCUCAGGAUGAACGCUAGCGACAGGCUUAACACAUGCAAAUCGAGGGGCAGCACAGGGUAGCAAUACUUGGGUGGCGACCGGCGCACGGGUGAGUAACGCGUAUGCAACUUACCUAUCAGAGGGAGAUAGCCCGGCGAAAGUCGGAUUAAUACCCCAUGAAACAGGGGUCCCGCAUGGGAAUAUUUGUUAAAGAUUCAUCGCUGAUAGAUAGGCAUGCGUUCCAUUAGG
rnacentral:rRNA from 1 species